AAAUUUUAUGUAACUUGCAGCAAAAGUUAUGUGGUAUAACUGCAGAUUGAUGUAGUGAAUUUGCUGUAGAAAUAUAAGUUAACUAGAUUUUAACCCGCGGUAUACCGCGGGAUGAUUUAUUUUUUAAAAGUAAUAUAUAUUAAAACUUGCAAAUUUUAUUUUUAUA
rnacentral:sRNA from 1 species